rnacentral:rRNA from 1 species
UACAGAGGUCCCAAGCGUUGUUCGGAUUCACUGGGCGUAAAGGGUGCGUAGGCGGUCGGGUAAGUCUGAUGUGAAAUCUUCAAGCUUAACUUGGAAACUGCAUCGGAUACUAUUCGGCUAGAGGAAUGGAGGGGAGACUGGAAUACUUGGUGUAGCAGUGAAAUGCGUAGAUAUCAGGUGGAACACCAGUGGCGGAGGCGAGUCUCUGGACAUUUCCUGACGCUGAGGCACGAAAGCCAGGGGAGCAAACGGG